CGAGUUAUCUGAACCUUCGGGGAACGAUAACGGCGUCGAGCGGCGGACGGGUGAGUAAUGCCUAGGAAAUUGCCCUGAUGUGGGGGAUAACCAUUGGAAACGAUGGCUAAUACCGCAUAAUGCCUACGGGCCAAAGAGGGGGACCUUCGGGCCUCUCGCGUCAGGAUAUGCCUAGGUGGGAUUAGCUAGUUGGUGAGGUAAUGGCUCACCAAGGCGACGAUCCCUAGCUGGUCUGAGAGGAUGAUCAGCCACACUGGAACUGAGACACGGUCCAGACUCCUACGGGAGGCAGCAGUGGGGAAUAUUGCACAAUGGGCGCAAGCCUGAUGCAGCCAUGCCGCGUGUGUGAAGAAGGCCUUCGGGUUGUAAAGCACUUUCAGUCGUGAGGAAGGUGGUGUAGUUAAUAGCUGCAUUACUUGACGUUAGCGACAGAAGAAGCACCGGCUAACUCCGUGCCAGCAGCCGCGGUAAUACGGAGGGUGCGAGCGUUAAUCGGAAUUACUGGGCGUAAAGCGCAUGCAGGUGGUUUGUUAAGUCAGAUGUGAAAGCCCGGGGCUCAACCUCGGAAUAGCAUUUGAAACUGGCAGACUAGAGUACUGUAGAGGGGGGUAGAAUUUCAGGUGUAGCGGUGAAAUGCGUA
rnacentral:rRNA from 1 species